GACGAACGCUGGCGGCGUGCUUAACACAUGCAAGUCGAACGGAAAGGCCUCUUUCGGGGGGUACUCGAGUGGCGAACGGGUGAGUAACACGUGAGUAACCUGCCCUUGACUUUGGGAUAACUUCAGGAAACUGGGGCUAAUACCGGAUAGGAGCUCCUGCUGCAUGGUGGGGGUUGGAAAGUUUCGGCGGUUGGGGAUGGACUCGCGGCUUAUCAGCUUGUUGGUGGGGUAGUGGCUUACCAAGGCUUUGACGGGUAGCCGGCCUGAGAGGGUGACCGGCGACAUUGGGACUGAGAUACGGCCCAGACUCCUACGGGAGGCAGCAGUGGGGAAUAUUGCACAAUGGGUGGAAGCCGGAUGCAGCAACGCCGUGGGCGGGAUGACGGCCUUCGGGUUGUAAACCGCUUUCGCUCAUGACGAAGCUUUGUGUGACGGUAGUGGGUAAAGAAGCACCGGCUAACUACGUG
rnacentral:rRNA from 1 species